GCUGGGCAUGGUGGCUCGUGCCUGCAGUCCUAGUGACUUGGGAGGCAGAGGCAGGAGGAUUGCAAGUUCAAGGUCAGCCUCAGAAACUUAGUAAAGUCCGAAGCAACUUAGUGAGACCCUGUCUUAA
rnacentral:sRNA from 1 species